AAUUAAGAAAGACGUAUAACGUAUUGCUUGUGCGAAUUUAAUUAAAACCGCGUGUUCAACAAGUCACGUGCAAAUCGUAAGUACCAGCUGAAGCACCGAUUCAGACAGAAUCUGGUGAUUCUCAUUUUCAACUAAAUCAGGCAUUGAAAUUCAAAACUGGGCACGAGCGAAGUCCUCGGUUGCAUUUAGCGCGUCACGUGCACACCCAAGCGGACGCCGCAUUCCACAUGCGGAUCAUCAUGAGGGCGGAAUCUGCCCACACGCGCUGAUCGCAACACCCCCUGCAAUGUAUCUGCGACAUGUGAUCAAUUGAACAAAGCUCUUUUUCGUUAUUAAAAGGUUUAAAUUCAAUUAAAUUUUGGUAGCAUUCGGUUUAAGGUUGAAAGUUGGUUUAGCCGAACAUUAGAUGUAGCUUUAACGUGAACGUAUUGUUGGACCUUGAGCCUGUAGAGAGCAUUUGUUCAGAAAAUCACUAUUAACGCAUAAAUCAACCUAACAUCGGACGUCAUCAGGCCUGCUGACUUCGUGGGAUCUUUCGACCAACUUUAAAAUUCUACUGGCGCUCUCAUCGACAUUCGGGUGAUUGGAUUAAUCUGUGUCAACGCUGUAGUGACCAACUUAAACUUUACACUGCAAUAACUCUUUAAGAUACCCUCUCCCUAAAUUAUAGCAGCUUUUGUAUAACCCAAAAAGUGAGAGAAUUGUCUUAGACCAAUCAGGACAGAAUAUGAUCGUACGAUUGUACAGUUAGGGAAAGGAAAGCCUAUAGCAGUGACCACCGGCAUGCAGCUUCCCAGAGCUUAAUUCAUUAUCAGAUAAAACCUCUUGGCGAAGGCUCACAAUUUUUGACGCUGCCCAAUUAAACACCAAAUACACGUGGUGAUAUAAUUUAAUUAUAUAUAUCCAAUCCGAUAAAAACGAGAGGGAUAUUUAAAUAAAUUUCCGUGUGUGAUUUGUGUGAAAGUGGAAAAAGGGAUUCGACCCCAAGGCGCAAAGAAGGCCAAGGGCAUUUGGUUGCCCCGUCUCGUCGACCCCCGCAUAAGCUCGUUGUUUAAACCCAGUUCGCUCCGACAUAACCUUCAGCCAACAAGUUACGCAACCCGCCACCUGCCGAAUGAUAACUGCCCAAAUAUAUUGGAAGGCUAGAGCUCAUCCAGAUUAUUCAGCUGUGAAGAAGCUUAGACGGGCGGAUCGGAUUUAAUUAUAUUUGGACAUUAUCAACGUUACGCAGUGAGGAUCACCUCAUAUGACCAGCGGAGGUCUAACUUAGUGAUUCCGUCUUAUCGCAGCGCAGCUUAGCUGCCAGCGGUCUCCUAAGGUCUUAUCGCUGCAGAGCUGC